rnacentral:rRNA from 1 species
AUUGAACGCUGGCGGCAGGCUUAACACAUGCAAGUCGAGCGGAGUGAUGGUGCUUGCACUAUCACUUAGCGGCGGACGGGUGAGUAAUGCUUAGGAAUCUGCCAUUUAGUGGGGGACAACAUUCCGAAAGGAAUGCUAAUACCGCAUACGUCCUACGGGAGAAAGCAGGGGAUCUUCGGACCUUGCGCUAAAUGAUGAGCCUAAGUCGGAUUAGCUAGUUGGUGGGGUAAAGGCCUACCCAGGCGACGAUCUGUAGCGGGUCUGAGAGGAUGGUCCGCCACACUGGGACUGAGACACGGCCCAGACGCCUACGGGAGGCAGCAGUGGGGAAUAUUGGACAAGGGGCGGAAGCCUGAUCCAGCCAUGCCGCGUGUGUGAAGAAGGCCUUUUGGUUGUAAAGCACGUUAAGCGAGGAGGAGGCUACUAGUACUAAUACUACUGGAUAGUGGACGUUACUCGCAGAAUAAGCACCGGCUAACUCUGUGCCAGCAGCCGCCGUAAAAC